GGGGACCCGCAAGCGGUGGAUGAUGUGGAUUAAUUCGAUGCAACGCGAAAAACCUUACCUACCCUUGACAUGUACGGAAGGCCGGAGAGAUUUGGCUGUGCUCGAAAGAGAACCGUAACACAGGUGCUGCAUGGCUGUCGUCAGCUCGUGUCGUGAGAUGUUGGGUUAAGUCCCGCAACGAGCGCAACCCUUGUCAUUAGUUGCUACGAAAGGGCGCUCUAAUGAGACUGCCGGUGACAAACCGGAGGAAGGUGGGGAUGACGUCAAGUCCUCAUGGCCCUUAUGGGUAGGGCUUCACACGUCAUACAAUGGUACAUACAGAGCGCCGCCAACCCGCGAGGGGGAGCUAAUCGCAAAAAGUGUAUCGUAGUCCGGAUUGUAGUCUGCAACUCGACUACAUGAAGUUGGAAUCGCUAGUAAUCGCGGAUCAGCAUGUCGCGGUGAAUACGUUCCCGGGGUCUUGUACACACC
rnacentral:rRNA from 1 species